GCCCAAACACUCCCUUACCUUCCUCAGAAAAGGGUUUUGAAUUGUUGAUCUAUGAAAAAUUCUAAGUUUGGGGUUGAGACACCGGUAAGAACUAGAUAAGUGCAAAUCGGAAAAAAAUAUGAAAAUAAAAAUUUGAAAAGCUUCAAGAAAAAAAAAUGAGAAAAAAUGAGAAGUAGAAUAAAGCACUUACCUAGAGGAGGAUUUAGUUUGACGAAAAACACGCUCAAAGAAACAAUUAAGUAAAAACUAAAGAAUCCUAAUAGAACCGUGUCCAAAACUCUUUAUUGUGAAUAAUGCAUAGAACACAGUGAUGAGAGUGACAACACGGACUCUGAUCCAAAACCACUCGUUUUUCCCUUUUGUUUGUU
rnacentral:lncRNA from 1 species